rnacentral:rRNA from 1 species
AAUGAACGCUGGCGGCGUGCUUAACACAUGCAAGUCGAACGAGAAAGCAUCUUCGGAUGUGAGUAGAGUGGCGCACGGGUGAGUAACACGUAGGUAACCUGCCCUUCGAUGGGGGAUAACCAGAAGAAAUUCUGGCUAAUACCGCAUAAGUUGGUAACAAGAAAGGAUGCUCCGGCAUUCGUCGAAGGAUGGGCCUGCGGAACAUUAGUUUGAUGGUGGGGUAAUGGCCUACCAUGACUACGAUGUUUAGCUGGUCUGAGAGGAUGAUCAGCCACACUGGAACUGAGACACGGUCCAG